rnacentral:rRNA from 1 species
AUUGAACGCUGGCGGCAUGCUUUACACAUGCAAGUCGGACGGCAGCACAGAGAAGCUUGCUUCUUGGGUGGCGAGUGGCGAACGGGUGAGUAAUAUAUCGGAACGUACCGAGCAGUGGGGGAUAACUAAUCGAAAGAUUAGCUAAUACCGCAUAUUUUCUGAGGAAGAAAGCAGGGGACCAUUUGGCCUUGCGCUGUUUGAGCGGCCGAUAUCUGAUUAGCUAGUUGGUGGGGUAAAGGCCUACCAAGGCGACGAUCAGUAGCGGGUCUGAGAGGAUGAUCCGCCACACUGGGACUGAGACACGGCCCAGACUCCUACGGGAGGCAGCAGUGGGGAAUUUUGGACAAUGGGCGCAAGCCUGAUCCAGCCAUGCCGCGUGUCUGAAGAAGGCCUUCGGGUUGUAAAGGACUUUUGUCAGGGAAGAAAAGGAUAGGGUUAAUACCCCUGUCUGAUGACGGUACCUGAAGAAUAAGCACCGGCUAACUACGUGCCAGCAGCCGCGGUAAUACGUAGGGUGCGAGCGUUAAUCGGAAUUACUGGGCGUAAAGCGGGCGCAGACGGUUACUUAAGCAGGAUGUGAAAUCCCCGGGCUCAACCCGGGAACUGCGUUCUGAACUGGGUAACUAGAGUGUGUCAGAGGGAGGUAGAAUUCCACGUGUAGCAGUGAAAUGCGUAGAGAUGUGGAGGAAUACCGAUGGCGAAGGCAGCCUCCUGGGAUAACACUGACGUUCAUGCCCGAAAGCGUGGGUAGCAAACAGG